GACGAACGCUGGCGGCGUGCCUAAUACAUGCAAGUUGAGCGCUGAAGGUUGGUACUUGUACCAACUGGAUGAGCAGCGAACGGGUGAGUAACGCGUGGGGAAUCUGCCUUUGAGCGGGGGACAACAUUUGGAAACGAAUGCUAAUACCGCAUAAAAACUUUAAACACAAGGUUUAAGUUUGAAAGAUGCAAUUGCAUCACUCAAAGAUUAUCCCGCGUUGUAUUAGCUAGUUGGUGAGGUAAAGGCUCACCAAGGCGAUGAUACAUAGCCGAACUGAGAGGGUGAUCGGACACAUUGGGACUGAGACACGGCCCAAACUCCUACGGGAGGCAGCAGUAGGGAAUCUUCGGCAAUGGACGAAAGUCUGACCGAGCAACGCCGCGUGAGUGAAGAAGGUUUUCGGAUCGUAAAACUCUGUUGGUAGAGAAGAACGUUGGUGAGAGUGGAAAGCUCAUCAAGUGACGGUAACUACCCAGAAAGGGACGGCUAACUACGUG
rnacentral:rRNA from 1 species